rnacentral:rRNA from 1 species
GAUUGAUCCUGCCGGACCUGACUGCUAUCGGAUUGGUACUAAGCCAUGCGAGUCGUUGUAGCAUACAAGGCGGACUGCUCAGUAACACGUAGUUAACUUAACCUAUGGAUGGGAAUAACCUCGGGAAACUGAGAAUAAUACCCAAUGGGCCACAGUGCCUGGAAUGGCCUGUGGUUGAAAUGAUUUAUCGCCGUAGGAUAGGACUGCGGCCUAUCAGCUUGUUGGUGAGGUAAUGGCCCACCAAGGCUAUAACAGGUACGGGCUCUGAGAGGAGGGGCCCGGAGAUGGGUACUGAGACACGGACCCAGGCCCUAUGGGGCGCAGCAGGCGAGAAACCUUUGCAAUGUGCGAAAGCACGACAAGGUUAAUCCGAGUGUCUCCUGCUAAAGGAGUCUUUUGUCAGUUGUAGAAUCACUGGUGAAUAAGGGGUGGGCAAGUUCUGGUGUCAGCCGCCGCGGUAAAACCAGCACCUCGAGUGGUCAGGAGGUUUAUUGGGCCUAAAGCAUACGUAGCCGGUUGCAUAAGUUUCCGGUUAAAUCUAUGCGCUUNA